GUUGUAUGGUUAAGUGACUAAGCGUACAUGGUGGAUGCCUUGGCAGUCAGAGGCGAUGAAGGACGUACUAACCUGCGAUAAGCUGUGAGAAGUCGGUAAGAGACGCUAUUACUCACAGAUUUCCGAAUGGGGAAACCCACCCGAGAUAACUCGGGUAUCUGUUACUGAAUACAUAGGUAACAGAGGCGAACCGGGAGAACUGAAACAUCUAAGUACCCCGAGGAAAAGAAAUCAACCGAGAUUCCCUCAGUAGCGGCGAGCGAACGGGGAUUAGCCCUUAAGCAUCUUGGAAGUUAGUGGAACGGUCCUGGAAAGGCCGGCGAUACAGGGUGAUAGCCCCGUACACGAAAACAACCUUGAUGUGAAAUCGAGUAGGGCGGGACACGUGACAUCCUGUCUGAAUAUGGGGGGACCAUCCUCCAAGGCUAAAUACUCCUGACUGACCGAUAGUGAACCAGUACCGUGAGGGAAAGGCGAAAAGAACCCCUGUGAGGGGAGUGAAAUAGAACCUGAAACCGUGUACGUACAAGCAGUGGGAGCCCUUCGGGGUGACUGCGUACCUUUUGUAUAAUGGGUCAGCGACUUACAUUUUGUAGCGAGGUUAACCGUAUAGGGGAGCCGUAGGGAAACCGAGUCUUAACUGGGCGUCUAGUUGCAAGGUGUAGACCCGAAACCGGGUGAUCUAGCCAUGGGCAGGUUGAAGGUUGAGUAACAUCAACUGGAGGACCGAACCCACUAACGUUGCAAAGUUAGGGGAUGACCUGUGGCUGGGGGUGAAAGGCCAAUCAAACUCGGAGAUAGCUGGUUCUCCCCGAAAGCUAUUUAGGUAGCGCCUCGGACGAAUACUACUGGGGGUAGAGCACUGUUUGGGCUAGGGGGUCAUCCCGACUUACCAACCCCAUGCAAACUCCGAAUACCAGUAAGUAAUAUCCGGGAGACACACGGCGGGUGCUAACGUCCGUCGUGAAGAGGGAAACAACCCAGACCGCCGGCUAAGGUCCCAAAGUUCUGGUUAAGUGGGAAACGAUGUGGGAAGGCUCAGACAGCUAGGAUGUUGGCUUAGAAGCAGCCAUCAUUUAAAGAAAGCGUAAUAGCUCACUAGUCGAGUCGGCCUGCGCGGAAGAUGUAACGGGGCUCAAACCAGGCACCGAAGCCGCGGAUUUGCACUUAGUGCAAGUGGUAGGGGAGCGUUCUGUAAGUCUGCGAAGGUGUAUCGAGAGGUAUGCUGGAGAUAUCAGAAGUGCGAAUGCUGACGUAAGUAACGAUAAAGGGGGUGAAAAGCCUCCUCGCCGGAAGACCAAGGGUUCCUGUCCAACGUUAAUCGGGGCAGGGUGAGUCGACCCCUAAGGCGAGGCCGAAAGGCGUAGUCGAUGGGAAGCAGGUUAAUAUUCCUGCACGACUUGUAAUUGCGAUGGGGGGACGGAGAAGGCUAGGUGGGCCAGGCGACGGUUGUCCUGGUGAAAGUGCGUAGGUGGUGUUUCUAGGCAAAUCCGGAGACACAACACUGAGACACGAGACGAACACACUACGGUGUGGAAGCCAUUGAUGCCCUGCUUCCAGGAAAAGCCUCUAAGCUUCAGAUUACAAGUCAUCGUACCCCAAACCGACACAGGUGGUCGGGUAGAGAAUACCAAGGCGCUUGAGAGAACUCGGGUGAAGGAACUAGGCAAAAUAGAACCGUAACUUCGGGAGAAGGUUCGCUCUUGAUGGUGAAGUCCCUUGCGGAUGGAGCUGUCGGGAGUCGCAGUGACCAGAUGGCUGGGACUGUUUAUCAAAAACACAGCACUCUGCAAACACGAAAGUGGACGUAUAGGGUGUGACACCUGCCCGGUGCCGGAAGGUUAAUUGAUGGGGUUAGCGCAAGCGAAGCUCUUGAUCGAAGCCCCGGUAAACGGCGGCCGUAACUAUAACGGUCCUAAGGUAGCGAAAUUCCUUGUCGGGUAAGUUCCGACCUGCACGAAUGGUGUAACCAUGGCCAUGCUGUCUCCACCCGAGACUCAGUGAAAUCGAAUUCGCCGUGAAGAUGCGGUGUACCCGCGGCUAGACGGAAAGACCCCGUGAACCUUUACUACAGCUUGGCACUGAACAUUGAACCUACAUGUGUAGGAUAGGUGGGAGGCUUUGAAGGCGUGACGCCAGUUGCGCUGGAGCCGUCCUUGAAAUACCACCCUUGUAUGUUUGAUGUUCUAACGCAGGGCCCUGAAUCGGGCUCGCGGACAGUGCCUGGUGGGUAGUUUGACUGGGGCGGUCUCCUCCCAAAGAGUAACGGAGGAGCACGAAGGUUGGCUAAUCCUGGUCGGACAUCAGGAGGUUAGUGCAAUGGCAUAAGCCAGCUUAACUGCGAGACGGACAGGUCGAGCAGGUACGAAAGUAGGUCAUAGUGAUCCGGUGGUUCUGAAUGGAAGGGCCAUCGCUCAACGGAUAAAAGGUACUCCGGGGAUAACAGGCUGAUACCGCCCAAGAGUUCAUAUCGACGGCGGUGUUUGGCACCUCGAUGUCGGCUCAUCACAUCCUGGGGCUGAAGUCGGUCCCAAGGGUAUGGCUGUUCGCCAUUUAAAGUGGUACGCGAGCUGGGUUCAGAACGUCGUGAGACAGUUCGGUCCCUAUCUGCCGUGGGCGUUGGAUGAUUGAAGGGAGUUGCUCCUAGUACGAGAGGACCGGAGUGAACGAACCUCUGGUGUUCGGGUUGUCACGCCAGUGGCACUGCCCGGUAGCUAAGUUCGGAAUCGAUAACCGCUGAAAGCAUCUAAGCGGGAAGCGAGCCCUGAGAUGAGUCAUCCCUGACCCCUUGAGGGUCCUAAAGGGCCGUUGGAGACCACAACGUUGAUAGGCGGGGUGUGUAAGUGCAGCGAUGCAUUGAGCUAACCCGUACUAAUUACCCGUGAGGCUUAACCAUACAACACCCAAGAAGUGUUCU
rnacentral:rRNA from 1 species